AUCCAUGCUGGAAUAGACGAUAAUCACCUUUCCCGAUGUGCCGCGAAUAGCGAUAGGUGUCUUCUGGACACCCAAC